rnacentral:rRNA from 1 species
GUGUCAGCAGCCGCGGUAAUACGUAGGGAGCGAGCGUUGUCCGGAAUUACUGGGCGUAAAGGGUGCGUAGGCGGCGAUGUAAGUCAGAUGUGAAAUCCCCGGGCUCAACUCGGGUUCUGCAUUUGAAACUACAUUGCUUGAGUGCAGGAGAGGAAAGCGGAAUUCCUAGUGUAGCGGUGAAAUGCGUAGAUAUUAGGAAGAACACCAGUGGCGAAGGCGGCUUUCUGGACUGCAACUGACGCUGAGGCACGAAAGCGUGGGGAGCAAACAGGAUUAGAUACCCUGGUAGUCCACGCUGUAAACGAUGGAUACUAGGUGUGGAGGACAUACAACCUCUGUGCCGAAGCUAACGCAUUAAGUAUCCCGCCUGGGGAGUACGGUCGCAAGACUGAA